GUGAAUCAUCGAAUCUUUGAACGCACAUUGCGCCUUUUGGUAUUCCGAGAGGCACGCCUGUCUGAGCGUCAGUAAUACCUUCGGUUUGACGAUUUAUUGUCUCGCCGGCGUUGGCGGCUUUGGGUAGUACGCGGGUGUCGGUUUCGGCCUCCCCGCGCGCCCCAUUCCGUUUAAACACUGACAGCGGGGUCAAGUUUAGGCACACCCAUCGAUUAGUAGAAAUAUUCAUCGUUUAAGGAGUCCGAACUUCCCGCACUACAAAAUAGGGCUUUAAACACCCAUCAAUUUUUGACCUCAGAU
rnacentral:misc_RNA from 1 species